AGCGACAGAGGGCAGUGCAAACAGACAACGCCCUCGCCUUUUACUAGGGCGUUCCGUGUGCUGCCCUCAUCCCAAUGUCGCUUAGGCAAUUUUUCAAAGUAUCUGAACUUCUGAGUUCAGC
rnacentral:snRNA from 1 species